GAGUACAAUGUUUACAUAUUCUGUUGUGCUGCUGCAGGGGUCAAGGAAAGAGCGUUCACGUCAUGGCCCUGUUUCCAUCAAUCUUUCUACCACCACGCACAAGAAGCGCAAAAAGCGCAAGACGCCAUUGUAUGCAGAUGUCGAGAAGUGUGUUCAGCUCUGGCUGAACAAUUUCUAAUCUAGUCAUGUGGACAAUAAGAAGAAGCAUAUUUUUAGUACAACGAUACCUUACAGAGAAUGAUUGUGUUUAAAAAAAACUGCAAGAGAUAUUUCAGUCUUGCCAUCACUCCGAAAACGGCUUGAAAGUGUCCAUGAAUAAUUAAAACAGGGUCGAGUAGGUCAAGAAAAACUGACUUAACUUCAAGAACAUAAUGCAGCUCAACAUUUAUUUUAUGGUGAAGAGGUUGCUAAACAGCCUUGAGAUGCUGUUUCUGUUUCUAUGCCUGAUCUCUACUCUAAACAUUGAAACAACGUGUUUUUUUAACUCUUCUUUUUGCUAUUGUCCCAUAUUUAUUAAAGGGACAUAUACAGCAGGUGGGGCAAUGUUUAUUUUAUAACAAUAAUGUAAACAAGACUUCUUAAUCUGUAUAUUUAUUUUACUAAAAUUAUUCUGGUGGUAGCUUUUUAAUAUAUUUUAUAAUUAUGCUUCACAGCUUCUACUUAAUUUUAUUGACCUGUAAAUCACGAAACACUUCAGUUAUAUUGUAACUUGAUUA